UAUGUCUAGCCAAUAAGAACAUGGCAGUGCAGGUUAUAUUGAAAAACAUGCAGGAAGGUGGCUCUCGAGGACCAGGGUUCCCUACCCCUGCUUUAACAGGUGAACCCAAGAGCAAAUCCCUACAAAGUGAACCCCAAGGAAGUGAACCCUGGUGCGACUCACUACAGAGUGAACUCUCAAACUCCCUGAACACAGCAAGUGCUGCACGUUCCAUCAGAAAACCAAGCGACCAGAACAGGAAGGACGAACCUGUUUGACGCGGUCCGGGUUGACGGUGGUCUGCGGCUGUAGGAUGCUGACCGGCUCUGUCUUCUGGGUGCUCUGAGGCAUCUCCCUCACCUUCUCAGCGAUGAAGUCAUGGACGCCGUUCAGCGCCUCCACAGUCCCCUGAAUCAGACACACCCGCUCUGUCGUUCCUGCACACAAACCGUCGUUCCAGAUGAAGGAGAAAAGGAAACAUCAGCAGGAGGAGGAAAGACAAACGAUGGAUGGAGAGGAGCACCGGAGCUGAGGGAGGAGACGGGAGACUCCCUGAGCCUUGAUGGUGAUGUCAAAACGAAAGCCAGCGGAGUCGAUGCAGCAAGAGGAACGCCGUCACAACAGAGUCAGGAAAAUUAAGCAGGAAGACGAGACAAACCAGUUGAAUGUUUGUGUAUUCCUCACUGUAUUUUUUAAUUUUACUUUUGUUCAAAGGGGUUUUAUUUUCUCAGCUUCUUCAUUUUCUGCUUUUUGAGAACAGAGAAGAAGAAUCCAGACGUGCUCCUCGGCUCUCAGCGUGAAAUAACACAUGGGGCUGGUUGGGAAGCACAGUCAGACGUGGCGGCCGGUUUGAUGUAAGCUCAUUAAACAGAUCUCCUUAGGCUGUGGAUAAGCUCAGGUUAACCGGCUACCUUUGAUCAGAUGGGCCGGAUUAGCUGGCUGUUAGCGGUGCAGCUCGACACCUUGUUGUUCACGCAUCAAAGAGAAUAUAACAUGGCUUAUUGGACGACAGCGUAUAGACGGACGGAGAGAAAAAAGACUGAACAGGAGAAGAUGGAUACAGAUCUGCAAACACGCUGGCCAGAAAAUAUGACAUUAAAAAGCAUUUAUCUAUGUUUAAAAAUCCAAGUAUUAUGAUAAUAAUGUAUCAUUUUAAAGAACUAAUUAAGAAAUCCAAAGACGGUGUACAGAAUAAAAAGAUGAAAAUGAUGAAAAACAAUGGAAUUGUUAAUAAAAAUAGAAGUACAUUUUUUUGCUAGAAUUACAUUUUUUCUGGUUUAGUUUAUGGAAGCUGGAGGUGAAUCAGGAUUUGAAUUCAGAGAGACAAAAUAAAACAGAAAAGAACAAAAGAAAAGAAAAGAAAAAAAGAG